UUACCCGAGCCGACUGGGGCAAGUGCUAUUUGUCGAAGCUCCGUUUGUAUUUCAGCCAAUUUGGCAGCUUGCCAAGCCUUUAGUAAAGUCGUAUGCUUCUCUGGUACGGUUUUGCUCGGCGGAUGAUAUGAGAAAGGAGUAUUUUACAGAAUCAACACUUCCAGAAAGCUUUAGACAUUAACAACAUAUUCUGGUUUCUUCAUGUAUAC